GAAGGUGAGACCGGAAACUGAGGAGCAGAGACCAGUGUGGAGACCAAAAAGGCGGGAAGACAGAAAUGUAAAGGAAUCCAGAAGAUUUCUUCCAACUGCCUCCUGCUAUUCGGGCAACUCCCUCAUGAAGCCCUGGAUCCCAGCCUGUUCCUAAUGAAGUGCAGAUUUCCAGUUCUUGGGAGGGUCUCAGAAAACUUCAUUCACUCUAUUGGCCAGGCUGCAUGCUCAACUGGAGGCUUGACUGGGGAAGAACCCACUUUCAAGCUGAUUCAGGUUGUUGGCAGAAUCCAUUUUCUUGUGGUUAUAUAACUGAAGAGCCCACUUUCUGCUGAUUAUUCACUAGAUAUGGCCUCAGGUCCUAGAGGCAGCCUACAGUCCCUGGAGCCCUUGAGGUUACUGCAAUUCUUUGCCCUGUAGGCUUCUCCAUAUGGCUGCUCAUUCAUCAAACUCAGGAGAGUCCCAUAUACCUAUUACAGGCAGAAAAGAUGAAAGAGCUCAGGGAAUAAAUC
ensembl:lncRNA